CGCACAUUGCGCCCUCUGGUAUUCCAGGGGGCAUGCCUGUCCGAGCGUCAUUACAACCCUCAAGCACAGCUUGGUAUUGGGCCCCGUCCCUCGCGGGACGUGCCUGAAAGGUAGUGGGUGUCCGGCGGGGCUUCGGGCGUAGUAAAUUUCUCCCGCCUUGAAAGCUCCCACCUCGGCGCCCAAAAACAAUCUUUACCGAUCAAUUGACCUCGGAUCAGGUAGGGAUACCCGCUGAACUUAA
rnacentral:misc_RNA from 1 species